AACCGACUAAUGUUGAAAAAUUAGCGGAUGACUUGUGGCUGGGGGUGAAAGGCCAAUCAAACCGGGAGAUAGCUGGUUCUCCCCGAAAGCUAUUUAGGUAGCGCCUCGUGAAUUCAUCUCCGGGGGUAGAGCACUGUUUCGGCAAGGGGGUCAUCCCGACUUACCAACCCGAUGCAAACUGCGAAUACCGGAGAAUGUUAUCACGGGAGACACACGGCGGGUGCUAACGUCCGUCGUGAAGAGGGAAACAACCCAGACCGCCAGCUAAGGUCCCAAAGUCAUGGUUAAGUGGGAAACGAUGUGGGAAGGCCCAGACAGCCAGGAUGUUGGCUUAGAAGCAGCCAUCAUUUAAAGAAAGCGUAAUAGCUCACUGGUCGAGUCGGCCUGCGCGGAAGAUGUAACGGGGCUAAACCAUGCACCGAAGCUGCGGCAGCGACACUAUGUGUUGUUGGGUAGGGGAGCGUUCUGUAAGCCUGCGAAGGUGUACUGUGAGGUAUGCUGGAGGUAUCAGAAGUGCGAAUGCUGACAUAAGUAACGAUAAAGCGGGUGAAAAGCCCGCUCGCCGGAAGACCAAGGGUUCCUGUCCAACGUUAAUCGGGGCAGGGUGAGUCGACCCCUAAGGCGAGGCCGAAAGGCGUAGUCGAUGGGAAACAGGUUAAUAUUCCUGUACUUGGUGUUACUGCGAAGGGGGGACGGAGAAGGCUAUGUUGGCCGGGCGACGGUUGUCCCGGUUUAAGCGUGUAGGCUGGUUUUCCAGGCAAAUCCGGAAAAUCAAG
rnacentral:rRNA from 1 species